rnacentral:lncRNA from 1 species
AGAUUGAUGGCAGCAGUCGAAAGGGUUUCUCCACCAGUAGCGGUUGUAUUACCUUCGCCAGCAGUGGUUGAAGGAUCAUGAAUUUGAUAUAUGUCGGGAUUUUAAUUGUCUUCAGUCGCCGUGCUGUGAAACUCAUAAGGUUUUUAGGACUCAAAAGGGUGGCAACCUUAGCUGGAUUCCAAGUUUCGACCCUUACGUUGCUGUUAGCCUCAGCAAGAGUCAAGUUAGCCGUUUUCCCUAUAAAAAGAAG